rnacentral:lncRNA from 10 species
AUGUCUGCAACAUGGAUGCAAUGAUAUAACCUUAUUUUAUGUAUCAUCCAUUCACCUGUUGAUCAAAGACUGUAUUCAAGAUGGCAGGCACGGUGAAGUCAAUGAUAACUCUAGUUUAUUGAGAAACUACUCGGCAUCAUACAUUAUCUUAAUUAAUCCUCUUUACAAUCCCAGAAAGUGUUCCUUAUCCUUUAUCUUCAAGUACCCUAAGGUGCAAAGCACAGAAGGAGGGGUGGUUUAGAAAGACUGGGCUCGGCCGGGCGCAGUGGCUCACGCCUGUAAUCCCAGCACUUUGGGAGGCCGAGGUAGGCGAAUCACCUGAGGACCGGAGUUCAAGACCAGCCUAACCAACAUGGAGAAAUCCCGUCUCUACUAAAAAUACAAAAUUAGCCGGGUGUGGUGGCGCAUGCCUGUAAUCCCAUCUACUCUGGAGGCUGAGGCAGGAGAAUGGCUUGAACCUGGGAGGCAGAGGUUGCUGUGAGCCGAGAUCACGCCAUCGCACUCCAGCCUAGGCAACAAGAGCGAAACUCCAUCUC